AGUGAACGCUGGCGGUAGGCCUAACACAUGCAAGUCGAACGGCAGCACAGUAAGAGCUUGCUCUUACGGGUGGCGAGUGGCGGACGGGUGAGGAAUACAUCGGAAUCUACUUUUUCGUGGGGGAUAACGUAGGGAAACUUACGCUAAUACCGCAUAUGACCUACGGGUGAAAGCAUGGGAUCUUCGGACCUUGCGCGAAUGAAUGAGCCGAUGUCGGACUAGCUAGUUGGCGGGGUAAAGGCCCACCAAGGCAACGAUCCGUAGCUGGUCUGAGAGGAUGAUCAGCCACACUGGAACUGAGACACGGUCCAGACUCCUACGGGAGGCAGCAGUGGGGAAUAUUGGACAAUGGGCGCAAGCCUGAUCCAGCCAUACCGCGUGGGUGAAGAAGGCCCUCGGGUUGUAAAGCCCUUUUGUUGGGAAAGAAAAGCAGCAGGUUAAUACCCCGCUGUUCUGACGGUACCCAAAGAAUAAGCACCGGCUAACUUCGUG
rnacentral:rRNA from 1 species